GGCCAGCAGUUCCAGGCCCACCUGCCUGGGCCCACCACUCUGAGGGCCAGUCUUUCCUCAACUGUGCACAUUUCUCCUACCUGUGGAAAGGACGUGGAGCCUCCACUCUGCCAGUCUUUACCUGUAGCGUUGCCUUCUUGAACCAAAGAUGUUGGAGGUCCAGCACAGUUCUCUAGGCAGCAUUGUUUUCUAGAUGAACUUAAGACUGUAGCUGAAAAACGUGAAUCUCUUCUUUGCCAGGUCCUGUGGCAGCAGAACCCCAGGAGAUGCGGCAGCCCACACAGACAAGCUUGUGUUUAAGAGUCAGAUUUGCUUUCUCUCUAGGUGUAUGUGUGCUCUUGGGUUGGUUCUGUAAUCUCUUUGUGCCUCACUUUGUUUUAUUUUAUUUAUUUAUUUUUUGAGACAGCAUCUUGCUUUGUAGCCCAGGCAGGAGUGAAGUGGCUUAAUCAUAGCUCGCUGCAGCCUCGAACUCCUAGGCUCAAGUGAUCCUCCUGCCUCAGCUUCCUGAGUAGCUGGGACUACAGCUGGGCCCAGGUCUCACGGGAGCGUGAUGAUGAAGCCCAGCUUUGCUGGUCCCAGUCCUGGCACUGCCGCUAACUUGCUGUGUGGCUUUGGGCUAGCCCAUCCUGAGGCCCCCUGCAUCUGCAACAGGAAGCUCUGGCCAUCUGCACUUGCUCCCCUUUGUCUGUGGCCAAAGCCCCACUCUGGAAAUUUCCAUCAUCGGUGGUCAUGUGUCGAUCACAGCACACUGGGUUCACUCCAUGGCCUCAUCCUUGGGUAGUGACUUCCCACCCGUCUAGUGCUCCUCUCCAGCCUCAGUCACCAGCAUCUCCUACUUGGAUUAUUGCAACGGCUCCUAAGCAUCAGCAUUAAGCAUCAACGCAGAUGAAUCCUCCUCCUACAGACAUUAGAUCAUGUCACACCUCUGCCCAGAACCUUCCAGUGGCUUCCUGUAUCAUGUAGAAUAAAAGAAAAGUCUUUCCCUGGG